rnacentral:rRNA from 1 species
AAUGAACGCUGGCGGCAUGCCUAACACAUGCAAGUCGAACGAAGGCUUCGGCCUUAGUGGCGCACGGGUGCGUAACGCGUGGGAAUCUGCCCUUGGGUUCGGAAUAACAGUUAGAAAUGACUGCUAAUACCGGAUGAUGUCGUAAGAGCAAAGAUUUAUCGCCCAAGGAUGAGCCCGCGUAGGAUUAGCUAGUUGGUGGGGUAAAGGCCUACCAAGGCGACGAUCCUUAGCUGGUCUGAGAGGAUGAUCAGCCACACUGGGACUGAGACACGGCCCAGACUCCUACGGGAGGCAGCAGUGGGGAAUAUUGGACAAUGGGCGAAAGCCUGAUCCAGCAAUGCCGCGUGAGUGAUGAAGGCCUUAGGGUUGUAAAGCUCUUUUACCCGGGAUGAUAAUGACAGUACCGGGAGAAUAAGCACCGGCUAACUUCGUG